ACAAUUUCUACAAAUUUAAAAGAGUAAUUCAAGUUUGGAGUGUAAAGUAAUCUUACUUCAAAAAUAAAAUGUUUCAAAAGCUAAAGAGAAUUGUCUCCUACUAAGCCCUUGGGUGUUUUUAGAAAAGUGAAAAUAAAAAAAGGAUUUUUGAAUAUUAAAAAUUAAAAUAUUGUGCAUUGCCCGCUACAGGGAUAUGAUCGACGCUGCAACAGAUUCUAGGCCAAAUGGGUCUACGUUGCAAUGAUACUGUAAUGCCUCGAGAGUACACCCUGGAUGUCAUACGGUGCCUACAUCCCCGAAGGACCACAAGUUAACCCAUACUGGUACCUGUUGUGAGAACUGAAUAAAAUAACAGAGAAUAUGUGCGGAAUUUAACCAAAAAUGCCAUAAGGUUUUAAAUACAAAGACAAUACUGAAUCGAAAUACUAAAAACGUCAGUUUGAAAAUAAUAUUGUAAGAUUGUCAAUAACAACUGAUAAUUAAGUAACUGACUGAAAGUGUUCAAAAGCCUCUAACUGACUGACUGUGGAAUUGAUGGGACAAGUCCCCAACUAACUCUGACUGACUACUGAACUAAACUGAAAUAAACACAAAUGGUCCUCAGAACAUGAGGACUCACCACUGCUACUGUUGCAGAUGAACUGGGAGGUCUAGGUGCGGUCAGGAACCUGAGCAUUCAAACUUAUAAUAUAAGACAUCAUAGCGCAAAAAACGAGUAUAAGGUCAGUACUUUGAAUGUAGUGGUAUGCUAAAUAAGGUUAGGCUGAGUGCAUGGUUCAUAUGCAUGAAUGAUACUGACUGAACAUGUAACAUAAGAUAACUGAUGUAUCGUAUGUGAGAAAUACUAUAAAAUCUGAGAAUGCAUGACCAAGAAUAUGGCAUGAUACUGGAAUAGUAUGUAAACUGAAAUACUGAUGCUAAACAACUAAUAACUAUAUGCCAUGGUCAAGCAAGUCUAAAAACUUAACACUAGACUGAGACUGUUGGAGCUAUCAUCUAACCGAUAUGCCCCAAUAAGGUAAAUUGGGGUCCAACCUAUAACCCUAGUUUGAAGGGUGUCAGUACUGUGCCACGGGUACUAACACUGGAUAUGUGGAUCCACUAAAGUGUUGUCCUGAAGGACUAAGGGUCACCAUCAACUGGCAAGGCCCAAAUUAGAUAUGUGUCAACCCUCAACUGGCAGGUUAACGUCUCAACCUACCUUGGCUACAUAGUUCUGGAACGUAGGGACUGCUACUAAAGGUUACACCCUCAACUGGCAGGUGAGCCCCCAUCCCUGAGUUCACUCGGUGCUAAAUCCUACACCCAACUGAAUAGUCUAAUCACUGGAAUAAACUGAGCUGACUAACAUGCACUAACUGAACUGAUAAUACUCUAAUAUAUUCAAAACCCUUCUGAAAGUAUUUAAAAUAAGUAAACAGCUAAGUUUUUGGGUAUUCAUAACCCCCAGGACUCGAUAGUAAUAUCAAUAAGAUCACAUGAGAGCAUUUGAACCAUAAUACAACUUGGAGAACUUCAUAAAUAGUCAUUGUUAAAAAUUCACCUAUGAGGCAUUUCAUCAAACACAUGUGGGUCGUGAGUUAAAGCAUGAAAUUAGUUUGAUACAUAGGAUAGUAACAUAACUUCUUCACUAAAAUCAUGGGUUAGGGAUUUCAACGUGUAAUUUUCAUUCUUCAACAUGUCAAGAACUAAUUCCAAUGAAAAACACAUGUAAACAUGGCGUAAAGUUAAAAUUCAUGGAAGUUCAUGGAUAAGAUUCAUAAAUACAUGUUAAUAUCAUAAUUGAACUUGAAAAUUGGGUUCUUGAACUCCAUGGAUAAAAAGGGUCAAUGAAUCAACAUCCAACAUACCUUAAUUGAAGAAUUCGUGAAGGUUCUUGGUGAAUUUCUUGAGAAUUAAACUUGAACGUUGAAGGGGCUAGGGUUUGUUCUAGAAAGGAAUCGCUUUUAAUUUUGGGUGAAACAUGAAUUAUGAGAUAUAGAUACUAUUUUGGGACCUAAAUCCCAAGUUAAAAUGAGGGAAAAUGGCGAAACUACCCUUCUACAUUUAAAAUUCGGAACUAGAAUGUCGAUUAAGGCUUCACCGCGAUGCGGUGCGAUUGUCAUAAGUCACUGGAAAUGACCAUUGCUGAUUUUCUCUUCACCGAGACAUGGUGGCUCCUUCACCGCUAUACUCACCGCGACGCGGUCUAAUCACAAUGAGCUACUGCCUGAAAAAUUCAAACGUGGUCCAAACUUUAUCCGAAAAGUCUAAAACUUACCCGAUACAUGCUACUUACACCCCUAAACAUGAAUCAACUCAAAAAUCAUCAUCUCGGUGCCUUAAAGGUCAACUUAAAAAUCCUCAAAUUUAAAGGGAGUCAAAAGUGACUAAGUCCCUCAACACUUAGUCUUAUUUUCAGGCUCUAAGCGUAUUAAAUAAGUACUAUGGGUUGAACUAGACUUAGAAACUUAUGGGGUAUUACAGAUACUUUUGUUGCAACGACGCUUUUGUCAUUGCAGUGAUCCCGAAUCAGUAACUCAUGGCUUGAUCUCAGUUUUGAUCAUUUCACAACAGACUUUCAAAAUUCGACCUUACGAACUAACUCUUUUACGACAAUCGCCAUAAUUAGAGUUUUACUAACCCGUUCUAUGCGUCGAAAGUUUUCACAACAUUCUAAACUCAUCCUCUAAUACAAAAUCAAAUCAAAACUACCAAUCAAUGCUCUAAUAAGUAGCAUAUUUUCCUAGAUCAACACACACUCAAAUUCGCCUAUGACUAGGCUAGCCCUGAAUUUUUAAAUUUUUAUCCAAGGAAAAACGGUUCUACUCUCUAUUUUAGUGUUACAAUAAUUUAGGUUAUUACAAUUAUAUUUUAUUAAUGUGGCAGCUUAAGGUAUUCUGAUGCACAUCUUGCUUAUAAACUACGAUUGCUCAUUUGAUAAUAUUGUACAAGAGUUAGAGAAGUUUUAAUAAUUUCGACAAAUUGUAAAUUUUCAUAUUUAUGAGAAAAAUAUAUCAAAUCAACUUAAUUUCAAAUCACUAGUUUUAAAAUACUGAUUUCUAUUCAUAUCCCAACAAGUGUUGAGAAAUUGGGGUAGAGGAAUUAAGUUAAAAUAACCUGAUUUUGAGAAGACCUACGUAAUUUCAGACACUAUAAAAAGUGUACUUUUUCAUUCAAAAGUUUAUUAUCUUUUUUGUUUUUGGUAAUUGUUCUCCCUUUUCUUGGUGUGAAUGGCCUAGUAAAAUAUAAUUAAAUAAUUUCAUACUUAUUACGAGUUUAAAAUAAGAGGCGAGGAGGAUAAAAUUAAAGUUUGCUUCUUCAUAUAACGUGGCACAAGUUCAAAAAUAAUCUAAAGAAAAAAACUCUAAAAUUAUCUUUUUUCAUCAUCCUACACAUGGAUCAAGUUAACCAUUUUUCAAUUAACUUUUUAAGAAUAACUUGUACACUAAUUUUUCCUCUCGAGAUGAUUACAUAGUGUUAUGUUCAAAAAAUAAAUAUUGAUUGAGACAACAUCGUUUAGAAGGGAAGAAUUAUUGACUUUUCAUAUGAUUAACAACAAAUUGAAUUGAUAUACAUCAGAAAAAAUUCUAACAUUUUCCAGAAGGAUAAUUUUUAAAAUAUUAUUUUUAUAAGAUCUAGAAUGUAUUUUAUUUCUCACGUUUUCUUCAUACAAUAUGCUUAACAUAUACAAGGAUAUAUAUAAAGUUCUAACUACAACAAAGGAUAAGGCUCAUUGAGAUAGUAUACAACUACAACUCUACCUAGUGUUUUGAGAAAAUUUUGACUUUUAGAGUUACCACUUAAUUUUUGAAAAGGAACUAAGAAAACCUUUAUACGAUACUUUAAACGAUCCAAAACAGAAAAAUCAUUUAAAUUUGAAGAUACUGAGUAAGCGGUUCCUAUUAACGUUUUAAGAAAAUUUUAAGGCACCUAGAAUGUCCGCUAACUUGCGAUUAUCCGAACUAUUUGAAAAUAUUUCUUUUGACUAACUUUGAAAAAGGAAAGUUGAUUUUUGAAAGAAGUGAUUUAAGACAAAACUUGUGUAAAAUUAAUUUGACAACUUAGUAGGGAAUUUAACUAGAUUCGAAGAGACAAAUGGCAAACAAACAUAGAAAGGGAGAAAGGUCAAAAAUGAGAUUAGGCUUUUAAGCCUAGACCCACUUGCACCUAUCCUAAACUGUCCAUUUGGGCUUUUGGCCCGUCUUAAUCUAAAUAUUGAGUUUUUAGCCCAUAACUUGUCUUGAACCAUCUUUUUGGACCAUUUGGCCCAAAAUUCACUUCACUUAUACUAAAAUUACAACUUUGACUUCGAGGCCCAAAUGAAUAAAUAAAUAAAUAAAUAAGCAGAACAAAAUAAUAAAACAAAUAAUACAAGUUUGAUAAUUUUUCAUCAAUGGGUAUCAACCCAUUUUCCUCUUCUAUCAAUAUCAACUUCUUUAUCCGAAAGUCAAUCGGUCUUGCAGUAAUUGCGGAACUCGUCUCAAAAGAUGGACCUUAUUGGCCCAUCAUGAAAUGCAAAAAGGGAGGAGCUAGUUUGGACUCCAAAGCGAAUUCACAAGCGAAAGAAGAAAGAAAAGAAAUCAAAACAUAUCCUAAAUGCAAAGGAAAAAGUAAAUCAACACAUUAGAAAACUGAUUCUUAAAUACUACCCUAUUCAAAACCAUUUUUAAAAAUAAGAACACCAAAAUGAUACCUCGUGACUUCCUUCUACUAGUGACCAUGUUAAGACAUCCAAAUUUCAAUAAUAAAUGAAUAGGCCAAAGACAAGAAACAAUGAAAUGAAUAAUAAAAAUAAGAUAAGGAAAAUGGAUAUUCAAAUAAUCAAGCACCUUAAUGACUUCAAACAUACUGUAUGAUGGAAAACUGAUUUAUUGCAAUUUGAAGAAAUAAAACGCACACCAACUGGGGUUUACACCAUCUUAUGCACUCAUAUUGGGUUCUUUAACAGUUUUGCACCAAAAGAUUUGCAAGAGAUCACGCUUUUGUAGCAUAACUUUGCAAUAAACUUUUAUUCGAUAAUAUAUUCCAUCUCUUCUCAAACUAACACUGAUUCAGUUCAAGAGAAACUUGAAGGUUAGGAAUAAUUGAAGAAAGAGACCUGACUACAAACCCAAUUGAAAUCCUAAAAAAACAAGAAUUGACAUUAACGUGAAUUUAGCAAGAUUUCAUCUACAGGAGACAAAAUGUCUAUAAUUUCAAAAAGAUAAACAUCAUAUCCACACUAGAUAAAGUGAGUAUUAUAUUCGCUUUAGAGUUACUGCAAGGUUUCAAAAGAGGGAAGAAUAAAGUUCUAGUCGGAUGGUUUUAAAGAGAGCUAAGGUAUUCGAAAGUGUUUGACUCCAAAUGCCUACCACGCUAUUUUGACACAAAAAACUAUACUCAACAAUAUGAAUACCAAGCACGUGUACAGACUCUAUCUUAUAUUUCCCAAAAAGAGACUUUGAUUUAGAUGAAAUAAAGAGCACAUACUAUACUGUAACAAAUAUUUUUUAAAAAAGAAAAUCAGAUAAUCUGUCAGAGAAGAAAUAUGCGAUAUCAUACCAUUCUAAUCCUCAUCCUCUUUCGACAUUCUUAGAACAGAUCUACAAGAGUCAAAAUAAUUUUUAAGGAGUCAUUAGAUUGGUGAACUUGUCAUGGUUUAGUUUCUAACAUUGGCAUUGAGGGCUAGAGAAACUCAAAUCGCAGUCUCCAUUUAAACAAAACGCCCAAAAGUGAACUUUACCAAAUAAAUCUUUCAAUUAAACAUGUAGGCUAGCAACUAUGAUAAGAACACUAAUCUAAUCCCAUACUAAACAAUGUUCAAUCAAUCCGAAACCAAGAGUGAGGAAACACCGAUAACAUGAAUCGAGGGUUAACAAGCAAGACAUUUACUUAGAGCAACAUUCAAACUUUAAAGAACUAAAAAGCUAAGAUCACCGAUGGAAAAUCAAAAAUAGCAAAAUUUUAUGAAAAUAAACUGAAACCAAAAACCUAAAUAUGCUAACACAUCAAUACGUUGAAAGCCACAAUCUUUAUCAAAUAAAACUAUGGCCUUAGUCUACAACAACUAAUUCCCAGCAAACAACAUUUACAACAACGGAUUUAUGAAGAAGGAGAUAAAAAAUGAUAACAAUAAUCAAAAUGGAAAGAGGUGUUUACCUCUUUCGAAGCUGCGAAACGGGACUCGAGCUUCUGCCGAACUCUAUCACCACCGGUAAACCUUGAUGCUAAUCGGAAUUCUAGGCUCGAAAAAGUAUUACAAGCAUUCUAAUUAAAUUUUCCAAUUGACCAAAAGUUUUCUCAACCAACCAUUUUAAAAUAUUUUAAGACUUUUUCUCAAAGAUUUUCCUCUUCUCCCCUUUCUUUUUUAGCUCACAGUCCCCCUUUUAUAUAGAAGGGAAAAGGGGGUUUGAUUUUUCUGCUUCAAUUGAUAUAGGAUCGAGAAAACGAGGGGCAGUUUUGGAAUUCUCAAAGGGAAAAUUCAAAAUUUGAAAAGGGAAUGGAGAUGAGCCAUGGAAUCGUAACGGAUGGUGAGAUGGAUUUGAUUCUGUUGUUAUUGGGGUUGUUUGUACGGGCUUGCUGACUGGGAUAUGAACGUUGGGAGUUAUUUUUUGUCGAUACUGGUCGGGUCGAGAUGUUGGUGUUGUCGAAGCCGGAGCUGGUUGGAAUUGUUGUUGCGGCCAGGUUUUUUGGUUUUUGUUGUGGAUUGUCGUUGUGUUUAUCGGUUUAAAUUGUCAUUGUUGUGGUUCACUGAUCCAAGUUGGUUGUCGUUGUUUUGUCGUUGAUGAAGACAAGGAUUUAAAAGGGAGCUGGGCCGGGUUGUGCUUAUUUGUUAGGCCUGGGGCGGUUAAGGAGUCAUUGGGCUGCUGAGGAUUAUUAUUUGGGAUAAAUUACACAAAUUUCAUACUUAAGAGACUAUAUUACCUAAUAUCCC
rnacentral:lncRNA from 1 species